rnacentral:lncRNA from 1 species
CAGAGUUUAGGUCAAGGAUCAAAAACCUGCCCACUCUAUCAGGGUAGUCUCAGCCCUAGGCCUAGUUCCUUUAAAGAAGGUGUAGCAAGGAACCUAGCGUCCUUGAGAAGUGUUUCCAGGGAAAGGUUGCGGCGACGUGGUGACAGCUAUUUAUCAUGCAUUGACAAUCUAGCUGCGAUGCCAUCUGCCAGUGGCCCAAUUGCUUCUAGUUUAAACCACGCUGAGGAUAAACUUGAAGAAGCAACUGAAGCUAGUCUAUUCCCUCCAUCCACUCCUCUGGAGUCAGUACCUCUUCGUGAGGAUAAUGUUCUUGGCUCGUCAAACCAAGUUUCUUCCAUGGGUUCUUCUCUUUCCUCUCCUCUUUAUUGCUGGUGCCCUCCUGUUGCAUCAACUCGGCAAUGUGCCCCACAAAGUUUACAGUGUUCUACAACAUCAUCUGACUUGGUGUCUCUACCAACUUUGUUACAAGUUACUAGGUCAUCUGGCCUUUUGGCAUCGAAGCCACCUCUUAACCUGGCAGAUGUUGUUCCUUUAGAUUUCCCCCCUCUUCUGCCAGAGCCGUUGGUUAGGUUGCCAUUGUCUAUUCCUGCUUCGCAGCAGAUCCCUACCUUUACACCCUUGAUGUGUGACCCGAUCGUUCACAUUCCUGUAAUUGAUGUGUGUUCCUCUGGCCAAGGUUAUCUAGUAAGUGCUGGCCCUGCUAUUUCUACUGCUAUUCCACCAAUGUGUCCAAAUCUGGCGAGUCCACUCGUUCCUGAAGCAGAUUCUAUGGUGGAAAAGAGUGCAAGGGAGACGCUCCGCUUGCUUAUUAACAGUUCUAAUCAGCCCAACCCGUCAUUGAUGGGUGUGUUGCCUUCGGUUUUGACGGAUGGU